rnacentral:snoRNA from 1 species
UUUUGUGAUGAGAAGAGGGUCGAAUGAAAUUAUGAUUACCGCUGGAAAUGCUGAAA